GGGGGAAUUAGAAAACCCAGACUAUGGUUAGUAUUAUGAGACAGAAGGGGCCUAGAUAGAUGAAUUGAAGGGAUGAAGAGGCAAGACAUUAAUUAGGAAUCUAUUGAUGGUUUAGAUGAGAAGCAAUAAGGAUCCUAACAGUGAAAAUAAAGAGGGAACUUAAGCCAGAAAUAAAAUGAAAGUACAUGAAUUAUGGCUUCGUUGCUGAUUGGCUGUGAAGGUCAGAGGAGAAGAAGAAGGAGUCAGUGCUAUCUCUAAGUAGGAUUUUUGAGUCUGUAAACUUGUAAAAAUAGUGGUGUCCUUAAAACACACACAGAAAGAAAGAGAAAGAACAGAUUUUGGGGAGAAAAGAUGAACUUGACUUUGAAUUUACUAAGCUUUAGAUAAGGAAGUAAAACCUAGAUGAAAUUGCCCAUCAGGCAAAGGAAAGGUAAGGUUGAAGUUAGAAGUAGAUUUAGUUGUCAUCUCUGUAGAAGGGAUUCUCACCAGACAGAGAUUUUCUAAAGAAGGGACUGAGGCCUGAGGGAAUGGCUUUACUUAGGAACUACAAGAAGAAAAAAAAAAAAAAUGAAGAAAUGGUCAUUGACCUAUUUGAAGCUUAGGAUAAUCCUCAAACAAUGAGAUUUCACUGUAUUUUGUUUUUAUUUAUUUAUUUGAGACAGAGUCUCGCUCUGUCACCCAGGCUGGAGUGCAAUGGCAUGAUCUCGACUCACUGUAACCUCCACCUCCAGGAUGCAAGCAGUUCUCCUGCCUCAGCCUCCCAGGUAGCUGGGAUUACAGGCAUGAGCCACCGUGCCUGGCUGUGUAUUUUCUUUUGCUUAGCCUUAUGUUAAAAGCUCCCAAGCACUGAUUUGCCACGUUCCACCCUAUUACUUUCAGCAAAUGUUUUUUUGUAUGCCCUUUCUUCAUUUCCUAUUUCUAAAUUACCACUCUAUCCCUGGUGGGUGAUUAUGUCAGUCUUAUGACAAUUAUAUUUAAGAAAUUUCAGGCCAGUUGUGGUGGCUCACACCUGUAAUCCCAGGUUUGAGACCAGCCUGGGCAACAUAGCAAAACACCGCUAACUUUUUUUUUUUUUUUUAAUUAGCCAGCCAUGGUAGCAUGCACUUGUAGUCCCAGCUACUUGGGAGGCUGAGGCAGGAGAAUCACUUAAGGCCAGGAGUCCAGCCUGGGCAACAUAGCAGGAUCCUAUCCCUUUAAAAAAAAAAAAAAGAAAGAAAUUUUUGAUCUAAAUGAUCUUAGAUACAGACUUUGAUAAAACUUAUUUAUGUUUUCCAAAAGUCUGCAUCCUACUUCUGCUUCCUACUUUGUCCAUUUGUUUAUUGGCUUAAAUUACACAAGUGUGGGAAGCUAGAUAUCCUUCAACUGGUAGUACUUUCUUUGUCAUAUCACUUAUUUCUAGUUUUUACUCACUUGAAAAUUUGGCAGUGAGGCAAACUAAUAUCUGGUUCCCCAAGGGUACCUUCUUCAUAGUUCUCUGAGGUUAUACUGACAUUCCGCACAUAAACAGAUGAUGUAUACAUUUUACCUGAUAGUUUCAGUUGAGGAUCUCGGUUAGAUUUCUUCUGGUCCUUUAUAUAUAAAACCUUAGAAUUUUGGAAGAAUUGCUGUUCUGAAUUUUUUUCCAUUUGAUAUUGAAGCAUUUGAACUUCAGACCAGGUAAGUUGUAUUUUUUACCUGAAUGCUUUAAUUGGUCUCACUAGCCACUAACCCCUUCCAUCCUCCUAUUUAAAAGCUAAGGAGGAGGCGACCAGGUGCUGUGGCUCACGCCUGUAAUCCCAACACUUUGGGAGGCUGAAGCGGGUGGAUCACUUGAGUCCAGGAGUUCAAAAACAGCCUGGCCAACCUGGUGAAACCCUAUCUCUACUAAAAUAUA
ensembl:lncRNA novel transcript, sense intronic to CDC27